GUGCUUGCUUUGACAGCACAUAUAGUAAAAUUGGAACAAUACAGAGAAAAUUAGCAAGGCCCCUUCGCAAGGAUGACAGGCAAAUUCAUGAAGCGUUUCAUAUUUUU